GGGAAAACUGCGGCCUCGGUCGGCUGGGCCUGUUGGCCUGCGUCCGGCGGCGCGCGGCACCGGCCUGGCGCUGGGCUCACAAGUGCUCGCACUCCCUGCGGCCGGCGCGCUGACCGGAGCUUCUGGGUCUCGCACGCAGCAGCUGCAGACGCUGCCCGGCGCGGUGGGGCUGUGAGCAAAAUGGCCUGCCAGUGUGGUUGCCCAGACUGUGCUGGGCCCUCCUAGGAGGAUGGCCCUGCCCCAGCCUAACUUCUGUACCCCAGCAUAACCUCCAAAGUAACAGCCGUGCCCUGGGAGCCUGUUCAACACUGAACAUAUCCCACAAUAACACAGUUCCAGCGUCGCUGGUAAAAAGCAGAAAUGGCUUCGGGGAGAAGGCAACAAAUCAAGACUCUAACCAGCUUAGGCAAAAGGAAGAACUUAUAUAAAGUGUACGGGGACGAGUUGAACAACCUACUCUACAGAUAAGACUCCAGCUAGCCUAGGGACCAGCAAUAUUAGAUCCUCUGCUUGCUUCUUUUUUCUGUAGACCAACUUUUCCACGGGAACACAGCUGCCUAGCACACCCAAGGUUUUCACUUUAUGGCUUCAAGAAUGAGAGACCAACUUGCUUUCUAUAUUUUUUCCUAUCCAAGACCCAAAUUCCUGGGGAUGGGACUCACUGGCUCUGAUUAGCUGGAGGCAUCAAUAAAUCUAAUGCAGUGACCUCAUGUUACAGAAGAGAACUCUAAGAGGAUAAAUAACUUGGCCAAGAUCACAUGAUAAAUUUGGAGUUACUGUCUCUAACGCUUAAUUCUAUGAUGAAGUUCUAUGUCUGUGGUCACAAAUAACAUUAUAACCAGUUGCCUUGGAAAUGAAGACGAUAUAAUAAAUUACAACUAGAAGUGGCUUACCAUAUUGCAUAUGAAGUUCUUUGAGGAGAACCCUGCCAUAAUCAUCAAAUAAAGAAGAAAAACAAGUGGUUUAGCUCUCCUGGAACUCCUGAUGAUUCCUGUGGGACAGGACAGGAGUAGGCUUCCAUAAAGAUUUGAAGAUCAAUGGAGAGACAGAACAUGCACCUCCAAUUCCCUCCUCUCACCACAGAAAUCUUGAGUUUAAAGAAAUCUCUGUGAGUGGUAUUUUGCUGGCUUGGGAAAGGCAAUGGCACAGUCUGAAAUGAACAAUUCUUUUUACCAGUUGUGACUUCUCUCAAUCCUGUGGAUGUGGGGGGGGGGGUCUCCAUUUCUCCCCCAAGUUCUGGAGAAUUCAGAGUGAUAUUCUUGUCUUUGAAUAUUUUCUAGUUAUAUUUUUGUUGGGGAACUGAUGUUGGGGAAUCUUAUACUUCACAAUCUUGCUGAUGUCACUGUACUGUUCAUAUUUCUAUCAGCAUCCUAAUCACAACCACUUAUGCAAUAACUAAGGAGUUCCAAACUUUCUUUAGUCUUCUUGUCUGCCAAGCCCUCAAAAUCUAGAUUUAUCUAGCUUGUUUCUACAAAUUCUUCCAACCUUUUUCCAUCACCCAGUUCCAAAGCCACUUCCACAUUUUUGAGUAUUUGUUACCAGCAACACCCCACUUCUCCGUACCUAUUUUCUGUAUUAGCUUGUUUUCUGUUGCUUGUAACAGAAUAUUUGAAACUGCAUAAUUUAAAAGAAAAAUAAUUUAUUUCUUACAAUUAUGGAGGCCAAGAAGUCUCAAGUUGAAGGGCGAUAACUGGUGAGAGCCUUCUUGCUGGUGGAGCCUCUUUGAAGAGUCCCAAGGCAGUGCAAGACAUCACAUGAUGAGGGGGCCGAACAUGUUAGCUCAGGUUUCUAGUCCUUGUCUUAUGAAUCCACCAGUCCGGCUCCCAUGAUAACCCAUGAAUCCAUUAACCAUUUAAUCCAUUAAUUCAUGAAUGGAUUAAUCUGUUCAUUAUGGCUAAACCCUUAUGAUCCAAUCACCUCUUAAAGGCCUCACCUCUCAAAGUUGCCACAUUGGGGAGUAAGUUUCAAAAUGAAUUUUUUGAGGAGUCAUUUAACCAUAGCAGGGUUUCAGAUUUGCAAGAUAAAAAGUCUGGAGAUCUGUUUCACAACAUGUGAACAUACUUAACACUACUAAACUGUAUGCUUAAUGGUUAAGAUGAUAAAUUACAGGUUAUGUGUUUUUUACUACAAUUAAAAAAACUAUGCUUGUUAUAAAUAAGUAGCUCAUUCUCCCUUGUAAAAUUUACUACCUGUUUAAAUUGCUCAAACUGAACCAGUGACUGAACUGUGGUCUUCUCUAGGGUACUUAAAAUUACUGAAAUAAAAGAAUAAGUA